GCUCGCUUCUGCAGCACAUACUAAAAUUGGAAUGAUACAGAGAAGAUUAGCAUGGCCCCUGCACAAGGAUGACACACAAAUUGGUGAAGCAUUCCAUAUUUUU